GGCUGGUCCGAUGGCAGUGGGUUAUCAGAACUUAUUAACAUUAGUGUCACUAAAGUUGGUAUACCACCCCACCACUGCUAAAUUUGACUGGCUUUAU
ensembl:misc_RNA Y_RNA Y RNA